GACGAACGCUGGCGGCGUGCCUAAUACAUGCAAGUUGAGCGCUGAAGGUUGGUACUUGUACCAACUGGAUGAGUAGCGAACGGGUGAGUAACGCGUGGGGAAUCUGCCUUUGAGCGGGGGACAACAUUUGGAAACGAAUGCUAAUACCGCAUAAAAACUUUAAACACAAGUUUUAAGUUUGAAAGAUGCAAUUGCGUCACUCAAAGAUGAUCCCGCGUUGUAUUAGCUAGUUGGUGAGGUAAAGGCUCACCAAGGCGAUGAUACAUAGCCGACCUGAGAGGGUGAUCGGCCACAUUGGGACUGAGACACGGCCCAAACUCCUACGGGAGGCAGCAGUAGGGAAUCUUCGGCAAUGGACGAAAGUCUGACCGGGCAACGCCGCGUGAGUGAAGAAGGUUUUCGGAUCGUAAAACUCUGUUGGUAGAGAAGAACGUUGGUGAGAGUGGAAAGCUCAUCAAGUGACGGUAACUACCCAGAAAGGGACGGCUAACUACGUG
rnacentral:rRNA from 1 species